UACGUAGGUGGCAAGCGUUGUCCGGAUUUAUUGGGCGUAAAGCGCGCGCAGGUGGUUUCUUAAAGUCUGAUGUGAAAAGCCCACGGCUCAACCGUGGAGGGUCAUUGGAAACUGGGAGACUUGAGUGCAGAAGAGGAAAGUGGAAUUCCAUGUGUAGCGGUGAAAUGCGUAGAGAUAUGGAGGAACACCAGUGGCGAAGGCGACUUUCUGGUCUGUAACUGACACUGAGGCGCGAAAGCGUGGGGAGCGGAACAGG
rnacentral:rRNA from 1 species